rnacentral:rRNA from 1 species
CCUACGGGGGACAGCAGUCGAGAAUCAUUCACAAUGGGGGAAACCCUGAUGGUGCGACGCCGCGUGGGGGAAUGAAGGUCUUCGGAUUGUAAACCCCUGUCAUGUGGGGGCAAAUUAAAAAGAUAGUACCACAAGGGGAAGAGACGGCUAACUCUGUGCCAGCAGCCGCGGUAAUACAGAGGUCUCAAGCGUUGUUCGGAAUCACUGGGCGUAAGGCGUGCGUAGGCUGUUUCGUAAGUCGUGUGUGAAAGGCGCGGGCUCAACCCGCGGACGGCACAUGAUACUGCGAGACUAGAGUAAUGGAGGGGGAACCGGAAUUCUCGGUGUAGCAGUGAAAUGCGUAGAUAUCGAGAGGAACACUCGUGGCGAAGGCGGGUUCCUGGACAUUAACUGACGCUGAGGCACGAAGGCCAGGGGAGCGAAAGGGAUUAGAUACCCUUGUAGUC